UACGUAGGGUGCGAGCGUUGUCCGGAAUUACUGGGCGUAAAGAGCUCGUAGGUGGUUUGUCGCGUUGUUCGUGAAAACUCACAGCUCAACUGUGGGCGUGCGGCGAUACGGGCAGACUGGAGUACUGCAGGGGAGACUGGAAUUCCUGGUGUAGCGGUGGAAUGCGCAGAUAUCAGGAGGAACACCGGUGGCGAAGGCGGGUCUCUGGGCAGUAACUGACGCUGAGGAGCGAAAGCGUGGGGAGCGAACAGG
rnacentral:rRNA from 1 species